rnacentral:rRNA from 1 species
GGCCUACCAUGGNGGNAANNNNGUAACGGGGUGUUAGGGCACGGCACCGGAGAGGGAGCCUGAGAAACGGCUACCACAUCCGAGGAUGGCAGCAGGCGCGCAAAUUACCCAAUCCCGACACGGGGAGGUAGUGACAAUAAAUAACAAUACUGGGUUCUUUCGGAUUUCGUAAUUGGAGUGAGUACAAUCUAAAUCUCUUAACGAGGAACAAUUGGAGGGCAAGUCUGGUGCCAGCAGCCGCGGUAAUUCCAGCUCCAAUAGCGUACAUUAAAGUUGUUGCAGUUAAAAAGCUCGUAGUUGAAUUUCGGGACCAAUAUGUCGGUCGUGCCUCGGUACGCACUGGCUUAUUGGUUUCUCCCUUCUGAAGAACCAUGAUGUCAUUUAUUUGGUGUCGUGGGGAAUCAGGACUGUUACUUUGAAAAAAUUAGAGUGUUUAAAGCAGGCUCACGCUUGAAUACAUUAGCAUGGAAUAAUGAAAUAGGACGUUUGAUUCUAUUUUGUUGGUUUCUAGGAUCGACGUAAUGAUUAAUAGGGAUAGUUGGGGGCAUUAGUAUUCAAUUGUCAGAGGUGAAAUUCUUGGAUUUAUUGAAGACUAACUACUGCGAAAGCAUUUGCCAAGGAUGUUUUCAUUAAUCAAGAACGAAAGUUAGGGGAUCGAAGACGAUCAGAUACCGUCGUAGUCUUAACCAUAAACUAUGCCGACUAGGGAUCGGAUGAUGUUAAUUUUUUAAUGACUCAUUCGGCGCCUUACGGGAAACCAAAGUGUUUGGGUUC